AAUGCCCAGGGAGGAGAAAAACACUCCCGAACCCUUACGGUAACAUUCCAACCCCCGUAACUUCUCCGUCCGAGCUCCGAUUGCCGCACCGUUUGCGGCCACGCGUCCACCGCAUUGAGCUCUACAUUUCUACCGGAACAAUUUCAUUGGAUCCAAUUAGCUUGAGGAAAACGUUUACUCUUGCUUAUGUGAAGCUUGGGUAAGGUUGUGAAUAAAUAAUUGGAGAUUGAAAUUGUGAAUACUGGAACUUAGAGGAAGCGGAUUAGUUAAGUUUUGAGGGGCUGUCUUGGUUUUGAAUAAAUAGCUUUGGUCGUUACGUGGAAAUUGGCUAAGGUAUGGUUUAAGUUUCUUGCAUUUAAUAUAUAAUGUUCUGUGAAAACUUAGGCUAGAUGACCAUAGGAUAAGUUGGAAUGCAGGUGUAUGUUUAAUAUUUAGUAAUUUGUCGAUGAAUAUAAUUGGUUGAAGUUUAUUGGAUAAUUAGUUAUUAAUUUUGGAUGGUGAAUGUUGUUAUGUUAAUUUGGAGAGAAUUAUAGUUGAAUGUUAUUGUUGAUGAACAUGGUUGGUUUGGUGCUUGUUGAUUAAUUAAUGAUUCGGUGAAUUAUUGAUUUGAGGUAUUUUGUGUUAAAAGCCUAGGAUUUGUGAACUAUGACUCUUAGUUGAAUUUUGGUUGUUGGAUUUGAAUAUUGUAUGAGUUUAAUUGUUGAUCUGAGGUAGAUUUUUUGUGGAGAUUGUUAUGAUAAUGAGGAAGGAUAUGUUGAAUUGAAAAGGAAGCAGGUUUGGACCCGAAAAGGGUGGCAAAGUCCGAGUUUUAGAGGAGAUGCUGCCGAAAUUUUAUA